CAUAUUUAAGGGCGGUUUGAGGAGAAGCAGCUCUCUCUCUCUCUCUCUUCCUCAGAUAAACAAACAGUUCUGGCUGUUAUAGAGUCUUUCCGUCUUUGUCCUCAAUCUGUGUUUUGUUUCUUUUUGAGGCUGGAGGUCUGGUUGUCGUGUUCUCACAGUCAGCUGCGUUGUAUUCAUACCUCUCGUAUCAAGAGGCCCUGAUUAAAUUCAUACAUUACAUCCUAUGAAACGUCAAUACGAACGCAUGGAUUCCUUGAAAUGCUGCAACAGGUGUCAUCCUGUGCCUGCAACACGGGCUCAUCCCAGCUGAUGCAAACACAAAUAUGAUUCCCUCUGUAGCCUCGUGUGGUGGUGGGACAUGACUCUUCCACCACUGCAGCCCCUCAGAAUGCGAAUCCAUGGUCAUGAAUAUAAAUUCAACGGCCACAUAAAGAAAUGAGUCUCAAAACAGGGUCUAAUAAGAAUAUUCAUACU